UGGCUCAGGACGAACGCUGGCGGCGUGCUUAACACAUGCAAGUCGAACGGUGAUGUCAGAGCUUGCUCUGGCGGAUCAGUGGCGAACGGGUGAGUAACACGUGAGUAACCUGCCCCCGACUCUGGGAUAACUGCUAGAAAUGGUAGCUAAUACCGGAUAUGACGAUUGGCCGCAUGGUCUGGUCGUGGAAAGAAUUUCGGUUGGGGAUGGACUCGCGGCCUAUCAGGUUGUUGGUGAGGUAAUGGCUCACCAAGCCUACGACGGGUAGCCGGCCUGAGAGGGUGACCGGCCACACUGGGACUGAGACACGGCCCAGACUCCUACGGGAGGCAGCAGUGGGGAAUAUUGCACAAUGGGCGAAAGCCUGAUGCAGCAACGCCGCGUGAGGGAUGACGGCCUUCGGGUUGUAAACCUCUUUUAGUAGGGAAGAAGCGAAAGUG
rnacentral:rRNA from 1 species